AUUGAACGCUGGCGGCAUGCUUUACACAUGCAAGUCGAACGGUAACAGGCCGCAAGGUGCUGACGAGUGGCGAACGGGUGAGUAAUGCAUCGGAACGUGCCCAGUCGUGGGGGAUAACAUAGGGAAACUUAUGCUAAUACCGCAUACGACCUACGGGUGAAAGCGGGGGAUCGCAAGGCCUCGCGCGAUUGGAUGAGCCGAUGUCCGAUUAGCUAGUUGGCGGGGUAAUGGCCCACCAAGGCGACGAUCGGUAGCUGGUCUGAGAGGAUGAUCAGCCACACUGGAACUGAGACACGGUCCAGACUCCUACGGGAGGCAGCAGUGGGGAAUAUUGGACAAUGGGCGCAAGCCUGAUCCAGCCAUGCCGCGUGGGUGAAGAAGGCCUUCGGGUUGUAAAGCCCUUUUGUCCGGAAAGAAAAGCCUCGGAUUAAUACCCUGGGGUGAUGACGGUACCGGAAGAAUAAGCACCGGCUAACUUCGUGCCAGCAGCCGCUGUAAUAC
rnacentral:rRNA from 1 species